GCUGCAGAUCCACGUUGGGUGUGGUAAAUUCCCAUAGCAGAUAAAGUUCCCUAGCAAAGUUGACGUGUUUCAAGUCCUACCCUUGGGCUCUUCCUCAUGAAUAGAAAACAAGGAGGACAAAGCCUGAGUGCAGAGAAAAGCCUAAAUAAGAUGCUGACGCAUGUGCAAACAAAUGUGGACACCUAAAAGUUACUUUUGGUACCGGCUGACUUGACUAGAAGGAUGGCAGCGCCCAAGGACAGACAGCAAAAAUGGAGCUGGCCCCUGACCUCAACCCUGGUAGUAGAAGCUUUUUUCCUUGGAGUAACUACAUCCUUCUAUUCAAUCACUGCAGCCUGGGACCAGUUGCUGUAGAGACCAUAUUCCAGCUAUUAUCUGAAUAAAGAACUUAUAUACAUAAAGAACCAUUUGAUGCAUUUUUCUAAGGUGGGUGAGUCAGACAUAAAUGCUGCUUGCAUCUUUAGCCGAUGGCUCCA